CGCCGCCGCUAUACCUCACAUACUUCAUAUUCUCUUCUUCAUAAACUUGAGAUGAUUAUUUCCGGGGUCAGCAUAAAGCAUUCAAGAGAUACUAAUGAUGAUGAAUUAGAUGAUGAAGAUGAUUAUAAACUCAAUCAACAGCGCACUUUCUGGUGGGGUUAUUCUUGGUACAUUAUAAAAGCACAGUUUGAUUCAUCUCAACCAAACUGAACGCCUUGGUCAAAAGAUGGGGCCGCUGGCUUUGGAGGAUGGAUCUGAUUCUCAGCCCAGUAAUGCUGAUAUUUCUAUGAAUCAAGAAGUACGGCUCUCAUUGCAGGAUUGGGAAAGAAAUGGCCGGGUAUGGCAAAUGCCAUGGCUGUUUGAAAAUAUGAGAUGAUUAUCAUAUUUUCUUUGUUUCGAAAGAUACAGCCAAUUUAGGGACAUUUGCAAAUUUGGCUUGAUUUACUUUACAUUUUGAAACCAGAGAUGGUGUAGUUUCUAUAAUGGUUAUGACAUUUUAAUUACCUCUCAUUAUUUCUA